GAUGAUGUGGCCUUGCGAACAUGCCUCGUCCUCCAGGACAUGACGCAGGCUUGGGGAUUUUACGUGUGCUGGGGGAGAUGUCGUGGGCUCGGGGAGUCGAUGUGGGUUUCAAGAGAUGUUGCAGGCUUGGGGAGAUGAUGUGAUCUUGGGGAGAUACGGGCUUGGGGAGAUGAUGUGGGCUUUAGGAGAUUAUGUGGGCUCGGGGAGUUGUGUGCUUGGGGAGAUGACUCGGGCUCGAGGAGAUGAUGCUGGUUCGUGGAAAUGACGUGGUCUCACUGAUAUGACAUGGGGCUCGUGGAAAUGACGUGGACUUAGGGACAUGAUGCGGGCUCAGGGAGAUGACAUGGGCUUGGGGACAUGACUUGGGCAUGAGGACAUGAUGUGGGCUCGGGGACAUGAUCUAGGCUCAGGGAGAUGUGUUCUUGAGGCAAUGAUGCAGGUGGGGAGCUGAUGCGGGCUUGGGGAGAUGUGUGGGCUUGGGGAGAUGUGGGUUCAGGAGAUGCAAGUUUCGAGGGAGAUGAGAGGCCAUGCUACUCUUGGGGCCUGAUCUUAGUGUCUGAAGAAGACGGAGACCACCGUGGGCUCAGAAACUCCAGAGGCCAUCCCACCAGCAUUGUCUAAGCCUGGGCAGAGUUACUUCCCAAACUCUGAGGUUUUUCUGAGAGGUUCUCCAGUAGCUGGGACAGAACAUGCUUAAAGGAGCUAUAGCAGAAUGGAAGCAUGGAGUUGCUUUCUGCUGUCACCCCACCACGUCCCGCUCCCCCACUGCACAGGUGAUGUGGGGUUCUGCCCGUGUGGUCCGGGGAGCCUGAAAACACAGCAGCUUGAGGAAGUGAAGGAACAAUCUCUUUUUCUCUCCCUGUGAAGACCCAGAUGGAAGUGGAAAAAGGUGACUGUGUCCAGCAACUGGCCAUUAUGUGACAAUAAGGAGGACAUUCAGCCUCACAGGAGGCCUGCAGGGAGUCACUGCAGAGCAGCAAAUGCAGGAAGGAGGCUGAGCUAGCCUCAGCAGGGAUGAAAAUUUCAUCUCAGUGUCAUGUCGAAAGAGAUGUGCAGACCAGCCGGUGAGGCAGGGGCCAAGAAAGUUGUAACAAGAAGUCUGAUCACUCCAGGCGAUUCAUAUGAGGUGAUCAAAGCAAGAUAACAGCCACUUUCUGGAAGUGGAGCUGGACAGAGACCACACAACCCUGCCAUCUGCCAAGUCAUCAGGCUCAACUCCCGACUGCUGCUGGGUGUUUGUGCCCUGGAGAUGGGGAAGAGGAAGCACCUGCUCCUUCAUGGACUCAGACCAGGCAGCAGCCUGGCCACCCAUAGCAGAGAUUCAGGGUAAACAGCCUGAGCAGUGUCCAUCCUCCAGCAACAACAUCAAAUUAUUUUGUGUCCUCCUGGUCCUGUGCUUUUGCAUAAGAUACCUCCUAUGCCUGGAAUUUCUCCCUACUCCUUAAACUGGGGAAAGUGAAUUUAUCUUUUAAUCUCAAGUGUAACCUUCUCCCUCCACCACGUGGGUAAGGUGUCCUUCCUCUGUGCUCCUAAAAUAGUCAUACUGUAGUAAAGUUACAUAUAUGUGUAUCAGCUCAAUGGACUGAGCAUCCCUUGAGGACAUAAAUUCUUUUUCCAUCUCUGUAUCCCCAGAAAUGCCUUACACCUUGUGCUCAGUACAUAAAUGUUGAUGAGCAAAUAUGUAAAUCAAUGAAUAAAAGAAUGAAA